GGAGACAAGGCACUGCUGAAGGACGGCCGAGGUUGGACGCUUGUGGGAGAGGCUUGAACUGAGGGACUAUUGUGUAGUGGAUGCUUGUAUAUGUGAAGAGGUGCUUGUAUGGAAGGACUUAUAUAGGUGUUGUAUGUAUUAAGAGAGGCUUGUGGUGAUGCUUGUAUGUUCAAAGAAAGGCUUGUAUAGAGGGAAUGUUGUAUGGUAGACAGCUGUAUAUACUAAGAUGCUUGUAUGGGAGGACUUGUAUGUAUUGGUAUUGUAUGUUAUAAGAGAGACUUGUGUUGAUGCUUGUAUGUUCAAAGAAAGGCUUGUAAAGAGGGAAUGUUGUAUGGUAGACAGCUGUAAUACUAAGGUGCUUGUAUGGAAGGACUUGUAUGAGGGUGUUGUAUAUUAUAAGAGAGGCUUGUUGAUGCUUGUAUGCUUGAAGAAAGACUUGUAUAGGGGGAACGCUGUAUGGUGGACAUCAGUAAAUACUAAGGUGCUUGUAUGGAAGGACUUGUAUGAGGGUGUUGUAUAUUAUAAGAGAGGCUUGUUGAUGCUUGUAUGGGAAUAUUGUAUGGGUGUCACUUGUAUGUGUUGUGGCUUGUGUAUCAGGGCUGUUGUAUGCAAUGCUGUGUUCUUUCAGGAAGCUAAGCUAUUUUUUUAGUUGCCAGACGGUCGCUACACUAAAAUUUGAAGCUUGUAUAAUGGAUGUGUGGACAAAAAGAGCUCACUAUACAUUAUGAACCUUGUGUGGCAGAGUUGCUACGGUAGGGAUUUGCUAUACGUAUGAGACCCUUGCUUUGCCAGAGUCUUGUACGGCUGCUGGAAUAUAAUCAAUGCUUGGAGAACUGACAGGUGCCGGGUAAAAGAGGAUCUGCCUGUCUAUCAUUCAGCUCGUGGCUCAGUGAAAACAAUAGUGCCGGGUAAAAGAGGAUCUGCCUGUCUAUCAUUCAGCUCGUGGCUCAGUGAAAACAAUAGUGCCGGAUAAAAGAGGAUCUGCCUGUCUAUCAUUCAGCUCGUGGCUCAGUGAAAACAAUAGUGCCGGAUAAAAGAGGAUCUGCCUGUCUAUCAUUCAGCUCGUGGCUCAGUGAAAACAAUAGUGCCGGAUAAAAGAGGAUCUGCCUGUCUAUCAUUCAGCUCGUGGCUCAGUGAAAACAAUAGUGCCGGAUAAAAGAGGAUCUGCCUGUCUAUCAUUCAGCUCGUGGCUCAGUGAAAACAAUAGUGCCGGAUAAAAGAGGAUCUGCCUGUCUAUCAUUCAGCUCAUGGCUCAGUGAAAACAAUGGAGAACUUUCUGAAUAUGAAACAAGUAAGCAAAGGCAAAACUUGUAGGGACUUGGGACAUGUUGAAAAAUAUAUAUGGUAUCUUUAGUUGUAUAAUCACACUCUGUACUGCCUGGGGGUUGGGAUGGCAUGCUCCUCCCCUCUCCUUUGUUGUUUUACUUGCAGCAAUAAACUAUCAAUCAAUCUAAUGUACUAAAAAAUAAAAUUGGUAAAACAUUAAAGAAAGGGAAAAAUACAUCCUAUAAAAAUUAAAGUUUAAAUAUACACACCCAAAGCAUUAUUUUAAAAGAAGCUUGAAAGUGAUGCAAAUAAAUGUAAAAAGUAGUGUUCGCCUUAAGACAGAAAAAUAAUGGAGAAAAUAAUAUUAACUAAAAAGCCAAAUGAUUUAUUACUACUACCAUUGCUACUACUACUACUACUACUACUACUACUGCUGCUACUACUGCUACUACUACUACUGCUAUUUUUCCCACCACCAUAACUGCGACCCACAACCCGAAGUUCACUGUCUCAUCAACGGCCAUGAAUCCUUAACUGUCUAUUGGUCAGUAUUGUUUAUCCCCUUUUUUCAUGUAGUUAUAUUUCUGUCUACUAAUAACUCUUUUUUUUUUUUUUCCCUCCAUUUGCAUGCAGGAAAAAAAAAAAAAAAAAAAAAAAAAAGCUGAUAAAAAAUUCUUGCUCAUUAUCAUCCUCAUUAUUAUCAUUACGACCAUCAUCAUUAUCAUUGCUGUUACUACUACUGUCUGCCACCAAGACUUACCUGCCAUCACACACACACACACACACACACACACACACGCAUACACACACACACAAACUCCCUUGAAAAAAAGAAAAAAAAAAGCACUCCCUGGUAAUUGUGGAAAGGCUUUGUAGGGCUGAAGGGACACAGGGAGAAUGGAAAGGGAUAAUAGAGAAGAGGGAAGGGAGGGUAAGGGAAGGGUAAGGGGAACAUGGAUUAUUCAAGUGAUGCUGAGGGGGAUGAGAAUCUGCGAGGGAGGGGAGGGAGAGAGGGGAGGGAGAGGAGAGAGGGAGAACAAUGCAUGCCCUCCUCCUCUCUCUCCCUCCUCACACACAAAGGGAGAGGGAGGGAAGGAUGAAACAAAUAACAAACAUUCUUUUAUUUCUGGACCUCAUUCUUCCUGUUUUUUCUUUCCUUCUUUCUUUUUUAUAACAAGCUGGUGGGAGGGGAUGGGCAGGGAGGGGAAGGGAGAGGGGAACAUAUCCAAAACCAAUAAUUAUGACACUGAAGAAGAGGGGAAAGACAGAGGAAGGGAAGGGAGGGAAGAGGAGGGAAAGGAGAGGAAGGAAAUGUUAGCGAGACACGAGUACAUGAAAGGGAAGGGAAGGGAAGGGAAGAUACGGUAAGGGAAGGGAUGGAAAGGGAAGGGAAGGGAAGGGAAGGGAAGAUAAGGGAAGGAAAGAUACGG